UUUCUUUACUCCAUCAUAGGGAGAGAUCGUGAUUCGGUGGUGGAGAACAAAGCCAGUCAGAACUCUGCUGCUGUGGAGCUGAGUUAUGCAGCCAAAAGCCUGAGAAUGAAGAGUGGACGCUUUGGACACAGUGUUUACUCUGAAGUCAGAUACUUCUCAGUUACUGACCCCAACAAUCACUGACUCACUGGACUCUCUUCUCUUAUAGCAGCAGAAGUGAAGUUUGGGGAUGUUUUCUGUUACUGUCAGCUUUGUAAUCUGUAUCUGUUCAUUUGUGUUUGUGCUGAUUUCAGUCAGGAUCUACAAUCAUGUGCUUCACUUUGCUCUGUGCUCAAAACUACAUGACUGAAAAAAAGCAGUCUGGUCUGGUACGAAGUGUCAGUUCUCUGAAGGAGCCGAGCGAGAGCAGUUUUAGAGUGUGUGGUCACUCAGAUGUGUGACAAACACACUCAUGAGCUCAGAUGGUGUCUGAUAUUGUUCGCUCUCAAUGGAAAUGUAGAAGACGUGUUUCAGGCUGUAGGGAGAACAGAUCUAUAUACACAGUUACUGUUUAUUUGCUUUGUUUAACAUACUGGGGAAAAAAAAAGUAAACUAAAAUGUGGCCUCCACAAAGUUAUGGCAGUUAAUUUCAGCAAAUACAUAUAGAUGUACACAAAAAUUGGUAGAAAAAAACCCCAAACAGAUUUAAAUGUGUUCUUUGUAGAAUUUCUAUACGUGUGAUGUGUUUUAAGGUGGAAGGAUUUUUUAUUACAUGCUAUGACUCUCAAGAUGCAAAUAAAUGCUGAGUUUUAAAGUGUU